GACGAACGCUGGCGGCGUGCUUAACACAUGCAAGUCGAACGAUGACGACCGAGCUUGCUCGGUCUGAUUAGUGGCGAACGGGUGAGUAACACGUGAGCAACCUGCCCUUCACUCUGGGAUAACCUCGGGAAAUCGGGGCUAAUACCGGAUAUGAGCUCCUGUCGCAUGGCGGGUGUUGGAAAGUUUUUCGGUGAAGGAUGGGCUCGCGGCCUAUCAGUUUGUUGGUUGGGUAGUGGCUCACCAAGGCGAUGACGGGUAGCCGGCCUGAGAGGGCGACCGGCCACACUGGGACUGAGACACGGCCCAGACUCCUACGGGAGGCAGCAGUGGGGAAUAUUGCACAAUGGGCGAAAGCCUGAUGCAGCGACGCCGCGUGAGGGAUGACGGCCUUCGGGUUGUAAACCUCUUUCAGCAGGGAAGAAGCGAAAGUGACGGUACCUGCAGAAGAAGCGCCGGCUAACUACGUG
rnacentral:rRNA from 1 species